CUCUCUUUCUCCCACUUUCCCUCUCGCCCUCUUCCCUCUUCACCCCCACCCACUCUCUCUCUCUCCUUCGAUAUUUCUUCUUCCGUCCGGCCUCGUUCUCGCCUCCAAUGACGAAAGAAGAUAAAGAAACAAGGGGAGACAACACCGGGUCGCCGCCACUACAUCACACACACUCAUAGAUACACACACACACACACUCUCACACACACACAUACGCUCACCCUCUCCACACACUCACACACACACACACAUUAUAUACACAACAUAUACAAUGGAUGUAUUUUUAAUG